GACGAACGCUGGCGGCGUGCCUAACACAUGCAAGUCGAGCGGGGAUUUAAGUGGAAGUUCUUCGGAAUGGAGAUUUAAAUUCUAGCGGCGGACGGGUGAGUAACGCGUGAACACUCUGUCCCGGACAGGGGGAUAACACUUGGAAACAGGUGCUAAUACCGCAUAAGACCACGGCCUCGCAUGGGGCUGAGGUAAAAGGAGCAAUCCGGUUCGGGGUGAGUUCGCGUCCGAUUAGCUAGUUGGUGAGGUAACGGCCCACCAAGGCGACGAUCGGUAGCCGGCCUGAGAGGGUGAACGGCCACAUUGGAACUGAGAGACGGUCCAAACUCCUACGGGAGGCGGCAGUGGGGAAUAUUGGGCAAUGGGCGAAAGCCUGACCCAGCAACGCCGCGUGAGGGAAGAAGGUUUUCGGAUUGUAAACCUCUGUCCUAUGGGACGAAGGAAGUGACGGUACCAUAGGAGGAAGCCCCGGCUAACUACGUG
rnacentral:rRNA from 1 species